rnacentral:snoRNA from 1 species
AGCUUACCAGUGAUGUCCAAAAAUAAAUGUCUGAACAAAUGACUGUCCAGUGAUAUGACCGAUUUGACCUGAGGUAAGCC